UACAACAUCCUGCAAAACUCGGAAAUUGCAGUUGGCUGUGUGCCGCAGAGGACAUAUGUCAUGUGUUGGAAAGCAAUAAUGGACUGCAAAAGUUCAAAGCAUAUCUCUGAACCUCGCUCAGAUUACAAAUAUUAGCUUGACUCCUCAAGCUUUCAAAAAGAUGUGUUAUAUAAAUUUCGUAAAAGUUACGUUGUGAAGAUUGCAGGGACUACUACUACUACUACUACUACCACCACCCUUGGAAGGAUUGCAAUGUGCACUUUAAUCUUCAAGAUCUUGAAUAUCUUCCUGAUUCCCAUGUACAUCUGAGCUGGCCAUAAUACACUUUGAAAUAUUCAACACUCUGCUGAGAAUUUCACUGUGUUUUCUAUGCCUGGUAGCCAACUCCAGAGACUUUAGGAUGAAGGCAGGAGCCUAGGAACUAAAAACGAAUUGGUCUUUGUCAGUCCAAGCAGCUGGUUGAAGUUCCAAAUCUGUCUAUGUGUGUAAAAAUUGAGAGGAUACACAUUGAAGGCUGUAAGGGGCUGGUUGAACUUCCUUCCUUUUUUCAGACUCUUCACAAGCUUACUUGGUUAAAUGGCAUUAAGAAUCUUUCAAACAUCAUUUGGAAGCUGUAUUCCCUCACAUUUCUCAAGUUGUCUGGGACAUGUACAGAAGCAUUGCCUUCAUCAGUCGAGUGUCUCUCUGGACUGGAAAUACUUGUGCUGGAAGCUUGCACAAGGUUCACGAGUCUCCCAACCAGCAUCUGCAAGUUAAAAUCGCUUCAGAAUAUUUUUCUUAAUGGAAGCUCUAGCUUUGGAAACUUCCCUGAGAUCUUGGAGCCUAUGGAACGUCUGGAGCAUCUUCUUUUACGAAUUACAAGGAACCAAAUUUAAAGAGCUACCCUCUUUGAUUGAAAACAUAGUUGGGCGUAUGGAAUUAGUGAUACCUGGGUGUAUAAGCUCUGUGUCAUCAGUGGUUUUAUGGUGUUCGAUGAGUAGACUAGACCUCAGUGACUGCAUGAUGUUAGAAGAAAUUCCUGAUUGCAUCUUUAGCCUAAACAGGUCAUAUGAAUUAGAUGUGAGUAAAACCCUAAUUAGUAGCAUACCUUCAACCAUCACCCAAGCAUCUCGGCCAAGGAGAUUAAUGCUGAUGAAUUGCAAGAGCUAUGAAUCUUUACCAGAGCUCCCAUGUCUUCUAAAUUGGAUCGAUGCAAGUGGUUGCACCAGAAUGAAGAGUGUCCAGGAUAACGAGUGCUCCACUCAAAGAAGUUUUGAAUCAAAGCGGUUCGUACGUGCUGCAGAUAUUGUACAGUUGCUUUACUGUGGAUGAGAAUGCAAGAGGAACAUAAUGGAUGAUACACAUCUUAGAAAGAAGGCAACAGCAUAUUAUCCAGUACGUCUCUCUAUCUCUCUUUCUCUGCUAAUAUGUGCUUCUAAUUCUGAAAAUUUAGAAUAAAUAAUAAAUUUCAUAUCUGUGACGUCCAAUAUACAGAAUUUGGGUACAAUAUUACAUGUCCAGGAAAUGAAAUCCUAAGAUGAGUGAGUUAUCAAAUGGAGGGAUCUUCUAUAGACAUCACGCUUCCUCCACAUUGGUUUGAAGAUGCAAAUUAAUAUUUUGGGUUUAGCCUUUUGUGUUGUUAACUUACAUCGAGUGGAAGGUGUGGCGUAUAUAGUUGUUGUUCGAGUAAAACUAUGCACCGAACAAAAAAUGGUGAAAGCCACACACCAGUUUAGUAGUAGUUUCUCGCAUUAUUAAACCCGCUGUGGUGACAACAACUACGAUCACCCGGUGGCGUGGUAUGAUUCCCUUGCAAAAGGGAGGUCUACAUCUUAUAGCAAUGCCACAGAAGCCUAUUUUGUUUUCAAGUCACACAGUUGGAGGAAACUUCACCGCUUUUCUUCUAAGGUUCUUCGGUGAAAAGUGUGGGGUAGGGCUUUGUGUAUGCUCAAAACGGAGACGCAAAUAUUGUCAAAUGAUCAAUUUGUGAAU